rnacentral:misc_RNA from 1 species
GAUGAAGAACGUAGCGAAAUGCGAUACGUAAUGUGAAUUGCAGAAUUCAGUGAAUCAUCGAGUCUUUGAACGCACAUUGCGCCCCCUGGUAUUCCGGGGGGCAUGCCUGUCCGAGCGUCAUUGCUGCCCUCAAGCACGGCUUGUGUAUUGGGCCUCCGUCCUCCUCCCGGGGGACGGGCCCGAAAGGCAGCGGCGGCACCGCGUCCGGUCCUCGAGCGUAUGGGGCUUCGUCACCCGCUCUUGUAGGCCCGGCCGGCGCUUGCCGACACAUCAAUCUUUUUUCCAGGUUGACCUCGGAUCAGGUAGGGAUACCCGCUGAACUUAAGCAUAUCAAUAAGCGGAGGA